CCUGAUGACGGCGAUGGAGUCCGCCUGACCGGUGUGAUCGACACCGGCGAAGUGUCACCUGGCUGAUGGCUCCUACCUCCCA
rnacentral:ncRNA from 17 species